rnacentral:rRNA from 1 species
CCUACGGGAGGCUGCAGUGGGGGAUAUUGCACAAUGGGGGAAACCCUGAUGCAGCGACGCCGCGUGAGUGAAGAAGUAUUUCGGUAUGUAAAGCUCUAUCAGCAGGGAAGAAAAUGACAGUACCUGACCAAGAAGCCCCGGCUAACUACGUGCCAGCAGCCGCGGUAAUACGUAGGGGGCAAGCGUUAUCCGGAUUUAUUGGGUUUAAAGGGUGCGUAGGCGGGCAUUUAAGCCGGCGGUCAAAUGUCGGGGCUCAACCCCGGCCUGCCGUCGGAACUGGGUGCCUUGAGUGGGCGAGAAGUAUGCGGAAUGCGUGGUGUAGCGGUGAAAUGCAUAGAUAUCACGCAGAACCACGAUUGCGAAGGCAGCAUACCGGCGCCCUACUGACGCUGAGGCACGAAAGUGCGGGUAUCGAACAGGAUUAGAUACCCCUGUAGUC